CCCUUAGAUGUUCUGGGCCGCACGCGUGCUACACUGAGUAAUUCAAUGGGUAAGGGAACGCUAGAGCAUUACCUAAUCUUGAAAUUUGCUCGUGAUGGGGAUCGACGGUUGCAAUUUUCCGUCGUGAACGAGGAAUACCUUGUAGGCGCAUGUCAUCAUCAUGCGCCGAAUACGUCCCUGCCCUUUGUACACACCGCCCGUCGCUCCUACCGAUUGAGUGAUCCGGUGAGGCUCUGUGACCUGGACGGAAAGAGCGUUUCGCUUGUUCUGUUUGGGAAACUUGGUCGAACCUUAUCAUUUAGAGGAAGGAGAAGUCGUAACA
rnacentral:rRNA from 1 species